UACGGAGGGGGCUAACGUUGUUCGGAAUUACUGGGCGUAAAGCGCACGUAGGCGGCUUUGUAAGUUAGAGGUGAAAGCCCAGGGCUCAACCCUGGAAUUGCCUUUAAGACUGCAUCGCUUGAACAUCGGAGAGGUAAGUGGAAUUCCGAGUGUAGAGGUGAAAUUCGUAGAUAUUCGGAAGAACACCAGUGGCGAAGGCGACUUACUGGACGAUUGUUGACGCUGAGGUGCGAAAGCGUGGGGAGCAAACAGG
rnacentral:rRNA from 1 species